rnacentral:snRNA from 2 species
GUCUCUUCGGAGACAUCCAAUAAAAUUGGAAUGAUACAAAGAAGAUUAGCAUGGCCUCUGCUUAAUGACAUGCACAAAUCGAGAAAAUGGUCCAAUUUUU